GACGAACGCUGCGGCGUGCUUAACACAUGCAAGUCGAACGGAAAGGCCCUGCUUGCAGGGUACUCGAGUGGCGAACGGGUGAGUAACACGUGGGUGAUCUGCCCUGCACUUCGGGAUAAGCCUGGGAAACUGGGUCUAAUACCGGAUAGGAGCCAUUUUUAGUGUGAUGGUUGGAAAGUUUUUUCGGUGUAGGAUGAGCUCGCGGCCUAUCAGCUUGUUGGUGGGGUAAUGGCCUACCAAGGCGGCGACGGGUAGCCGGCCUGAGAGGGUGGACGGCCACAUUGGGACUGAGAUACGGCCCAGACUCCUACGGGAGGCAGCAGUGGGGAAUAUUGCACAAUGGGCGCAAGCCUGAUGCAGCGACGCCGCGUGGGGGAUGACGGCCUUCGGGUUGUAAACUCCUUUCGCUAGGGACGAAGCUUUUUGUGACGGUACCUAGAUAAGAAGCACCGGCUAACUACGUG
rnacentral:rRNA from 1 species